rnacentral:rRNA from 1 species
GUGCCAGCAGCCGCGGUAAUACGUAGGGUGCGAGCGUUAAUCGGAAUUACUGGGCGUAAAGCGUGCGCAGGCGGUUAUAUAAGACAGUUGCGAAAUCCCCGGGCUUAACCUGGGAAUGGCGCUUGUGACUGCACGACUGGAGUGCGGCAGAGGGGGAUGGAAUUCCGCGUGUAGCAGUGAAAUGCGUAGAUAUGCGGAGGAACACCGAUGGCGAAGGCAGUCCCCUGGGCCUGCACUGACGCUCAUGCACGAAAGCGU